AGUUGCACAAAACCUGGAAAAAUUAUGUGGAACUGUAUUUCAUGUGAGGGAAAACAGUAGUCUGGCAUUGUUAAAUUAGCAUUGGUUAUGAAAUAGUUCACCUAACUACAAUUUCAACUGAAAGGUUAUUUUUAAUACUUUUGCUUUUGUUUCACUGCAGGUCUUACUUUGUUCUGCCACUGAUUAACCAUAGUCCUCAGAUCCUGAGGGCCAGAUUUAUGGUCAACUGCGUUACGGUAGCUAGCCUGAACUCAGCUUAGCAUCUCACCCGCCGGGUCUUUUCCAUCAUGCCUUUUCUCAGUGAGCUAAGAACUAAAUUCUGUGUUGUAUUUCACAUUGUUCCAGAGGCUUAGACUGGUCACGAAUCUUAUUUCUGCUUCAAGCUUGCGUCCUUUGAACAGAGCUGCAAGUUUGGAAGCUGGGCUGUCAUGUUGCUGGCCAUUUCCCGGUUUGUGGAAGUUAGCAGACAUGCAGUGUUUCUCAGACUUUUUGAAAACGGAUCUUCCCUUUGGCUCAUGCGUGUAAAUGUGUAAUUGCCUUAAUGCCGUGCCCUGUGCUGCCAACUUUUCAGUUCCUCUGGAAGAGCGGGAGCACGAAGUUACUGUAAUUACUGGCUGCAGGAGUUUCCCAUCAUAGAGAAAACUGUGCUACCGCCAGCAAAUGUAAGCAGUUAAAAGUUCCUUCAAGAGGAUGAAUGUUUGCAGUCAGUAAUUAUAGCUGGUUCUCACUCUCUCAACUUAAAAGUGCAUUUGCCAACAUCUAACACUGCUUUUUCUUCCGUUCCCUGAUUCUCUAUAAACUUGUUGGGAAACAUUGCUCUACUGCGUCAUCCAGCCAGUGGAAUGGGAUCCCUCGUAUUAAGACCUUUCACUUGCAACAAAUCCUGGGAAAAUUAUUGUGCAAACUAGAUAGAUAGAAACACGGUUGGUUUGACCAACCGUAGGACAUUUGAACUAGCCUAAUGAUCCUGCCCUGUGCCUACCGCAGGUCCGUCUUUGCCAGUGAAAAUUCUCAGUACUUGGCAUCAAGCGACACACCUAUGACUCCUACUCUCCACAGGGACUGGAGGAACAACUUGGAUCACUUUCACCGCAAAGUCAUUUAAACUGCAAACCCUCAUCUGCCAUGAAUAUUCUCCUUUGUAUACAGAAAGUUUUAUAAUAAAUUUUUCUCUUUGCGUGAAGACAGACCGCAUAUCUUCGGUUCAGAAAAAAAAAGGCUUCUGGGAAGUGGUCAUUUUCUUAACGUGAUAAGAAACUGAAAUGUUUUCAAAGAAAAAACACUUAGAUGUGUGGCCUGCACGGAUUAGUAAGACUGGAAGCUGCUAUUCCAUGAAUCCCUUAAUUACGACAAACCUUCCCUGGCGAGCUGCUAUAUUUACUUAAUAGAAUAUUAAGCUACGAUUUUUACAUGUAUACUAAAGGUAUUUAGGUGUCACUGUUUUCUUGCAGUGUAAUAAUAUUUGAUUUGAUUUAAGUUUGAAUAAGCUUGGGCUUUUUGUUAAUUUCCUCCACUCUGAAGGAUAAAAUAGCCCGGUGCGAAAGCCUUUUAAGAUACAACAAUAUUGUUUAAGCAUGGCAUCUGCAACUAAUAAUAAAGACUAUGCAACUUUGAAUGAAAAAAAAAAA